rnacentral:rRNA from 1 species
GCUGGCGGCAGGCCUAACACAUGCAAGUCGAACGGAGUUAUAUUGUAGCUUGCUAUGGUAUAACUUAGUGGCAGACGGGUGAGUAAUGUAUAGGAAUCUACCUAGUAGUACGGAAUAAUUGUUGGAAACGGCAACUAAUACCGUAUACGCCCUACGGGGGAAAAAUUUAUUGCUAUUAGAUGAGCCUAUAUUAGAUUAGCUAGUUGGUGGAGUAAUAGCCUACCAAGGCAAUGAUCUAUAGCUGAUCUGAGAGGAUGAUCAGCCACACUGGAACUGAGAUACGGUCCAGACUCCUACGGGAGGCAGCAGUGGGGAAUAUUGGACAAUGGGCGAAAGCCUGAUCCAGCCAUGCCGCAUGAGUGAAGAAGGCCUUUGGGUUGUAAAGCUCUUUUAGUGAGGAAGAUAAUGACGGUACUCACAGAAGAAGUCCUGGCUAACUCCGUGCCAGCAGCCGCGGUAAUACGGAGAGGGCUAGCGUUAUUCGGAAUUAUUGGGCGUAAAGGGCGCGUAGGCGGAUUAGUAAGUUAAAAGUGAAAUCCCAAGGCUCAACCUUGGAAUUGCUUUUAAAACUGCUAAUCUAGAGAUUGAAAGAGGAUAGAGGAAUUCCUAGUGUAGAGGUGAAAUUCGUAAAUAUUAGGAGGAACACCAGUGGCGAAGGCGUCUAUCUGGUUCAAAUCUG